UAGGGAAUCUUCCACAAUGGGCGCAAGCCUGAUGGAGCAACACCGCGUGAGUGAAGAAGGGUUUCGGCUCGUAAAGCUCUGUUGUUGGAGAAGAACGUGCGUGAGAGUAACUGUUCACGCAGUGACGGUAUCCAACCAGAAAGUCACGGCUAACUACGUGCCAGCAGCCGCGUAAUACGUAGGUGGCAAGCGUUAUCCGGAUUUAUUGGGCGUAAAGCGAGCGCAGGCGGUUGCUUAGGUCUGAUGUGAAAGCCUUCGGCUUAACCGAAGAAGUGCAUCGGAAACCGGGCGACUUGAGUGCAGAAGAGGACAGUGGAACUCCAUGUGUAGCGGUGGAAUGCGUAGAUAUAUGGAAGAACACCAGUGGCGAAGGCGGCUUACUGGACGGUAACUGACGUUGAGGCUCGAAAGCGUGGGGGAGCAAACAGGAUUAGAUACCC
rnacentral:rRNA from 1 species